AGUUUGAUCAUGGCUCAGAUUGAACGCUGGCGGGAUGCUCUUACACAUGCAAGUCGAACGGCAGCACGGACUUCGGUCUGGUGGCGAGUGGCGAACGGGUGAGUAAUGUAUCGGAACGUGCCUAGUAGCGGGGGAUAACUACGCGAAAGCGUAGCUAAUACCGCAUACGCCCUUCGGGGGAAAGCGGGGACCUUUCGGGCCUCGCACUAUUAGAGCGGCCGAUAUCGGAUUAGCUAGUUGGUGGGGCACUGCUCCAUCAAGGCGACGAUCCGUGUGCCGGUUUGAGAGGACGACCAGCCACACUGGGACUGGAGACACGGCCCAGACUCCUACGGGAGGCAGCAGUGGGAAUUUUGGGACAAUGGGGGGGAAACCCCUGAUCCAGCCAUCUCAAGCGUGCGAUGAAGGCCUUCGGGCCGUGGAAGAAUUUUUGGGCAGGAAAGAAACGGCACGGGAUAAUACCCCCGUGCAACUGACGGUACCUGCAGAAUAAGCACCGGCUAACUACGCCAGCAGCCGCGGUAAUACGUAGGGGUGCAAGCGUUAAUCGGAAUUACUGGGCGUAAAGCGUGCGCAGGCGGUUCGGAAAGAAAGAUGUGAAAUCCCAGAGCUUAACUUCGAACUGCAUUUUAACUGAGCUAGAGUGUGUCAGAGGAGGUGGAAUUCCGCGUGUAGCAGUGAAAUGCGUAGAUAUGCGGAGGAACACCGAUGGCGAAGGCAGCCUCCUGGGAUAACAAUUGACGCUCAUGCACGAAAGCGUGGGGAGCAAACAGGAUUAGAUACCCUGGUAGUCCACGCCCUAAACGAUGUCAACUAGCUGUUGGGGCCUUCGGGCCUUGGCGCAGCUAACGCUUUAAGCUGACCGCCUGGGGAGUACGGUCGCAAGAUUAAACUCAAAGGAAUUGACGGGGACCCGCACAAGCGGUGGAUGAUGUGGAUUAAUUCGGAUGCAACGAAAACCUUACCUACCCUUGAGGCUACCGGAAUCCCGAAGAGAUUUGGGGAGUGCUCGCAAGAGAACCGGAACACAGGUGCUGCAUGGCUGUCGUCAGCUCGUGUCGUGAGAUGUUGGGUUAAGUCCCGCAACGAGCGCAACCCUUGUCAUUAGUUGCUGAAAGGGCACUCUAAUGAGACUGCCGGUGACAAAACUGAGGAAGGUGGACACGUCAAGUCCUCAUGGCCCUUAUGGGUAGGGCUUCACACGUCAUACAAUGGUCGGGACAGAGGGUCGCCAACCCGCGAGGGGAGCCAAUCCCAGAAACCCGAUCGUAGUCCGGAUCGCAGUCUGCAACUCGACUGCGUGAAGUCGGAAUCGCUAGUAAUCGCGGAUCAGCAUGUCGCGGUGAAUACGUUCCCGGGUCUUGUACACACCGCCCGUCACAAUCUCAUGGGAGUGGGUUUUACUCAGAAGUAGUUAGCCUAACCGUAAGGAGGGCGAUUACCACGGUAGGAUUCAUGACUGGGGUGAAGUCGUAACAAGGUAG
rnacentral:rRNA from 1 species